rnacentral:rRNA from 1 species
CAGGUAGAGAAUACCAAGGCGCUUGAGAGAACUCGGGUGAAGGAACUAGGCAAAAUGGUGCCGUAACUUCGGGAGAAGGCACGCUGACAUGUAGGUGAAGUGAUUUACUCAUGGAGCUGAAGUCAGUCGAAGAUACCAGCUGGCUGCAACUGUUUAUUAAAAACACAGCACUGUGCAAACACGAAAGUGGACGUAUACGGUGUGACGCCUGCCCGGUGCCGGA